rnacentral:tRNA from 2 species
UGGGGACUCGUCUAAUGGUAGGACAGCAGACUCUGACUCUGUAUGUGGGGGUUCGACUCCCUCGUCCCCAGCCA